rnacentral:lncRNA from 1 species
AAGAAAAAUUUGUUCAGCAUAUGAGUGGUAGAUACGACCAAAGCUACAUCUCUCAGCAAGUCAGUGCUCCAGCUUAAGCAACAAGAAAAAAAAAAGCUCUAUAUAGAACUGUGACAAACAUAGUUACUGCAUGGAACUAAGAAAAUGAUGUUUGUAGCGUGUAGAAGCUAGAAAAGAAAGAUGAAAUCAAUUUAAACUUUUUCAAAACCAAUAGCUAGACUGAGACUGUUCAGUCCUGAAUAUAUAUGUGUACAUAUGUGUAUGUACACAUAUAUACAAACAUUGGGUUCUCAUUUUGUUUUGGAAAGGUGAAGCUGGUCACCCCCAGAGUUAAUGGGAAAAUAUGUGGGAUUAGAAAUUGUGCCCCAGUAUUCUGGGACUCCUGCCCAAGCCACAGUGAUGGCUUUUCCCCUCUUAUGAUUGCUGCUGUACUGAAAUUUACCAUCAGUCAGCCAUAGAACAGAGCAACUCCCAAGGUUCCAGCUACUACAGUGACUCAUUUGGUGUGUCAUCAUUCCCUGGAGAAUGGAGGUACCACAUCAAAUCAUGGCCCAUCCUAAAGUCUAGUGCCACUGAAAUUUACAGCCACAGAACUGAAUUAAUCAAGAGGAACAACAACAACAAGAGUUCUCUUCCAAAAUGAUAGCUUUUUUGUAGCUCUGAAAUGAGAGGAACCCAAUCCAGAAGAAUCCACAGAAGGAGGAAAAGCCAGCAGAAAGGCAGCAGAUUAGACACAAAAUUGUAAUUGUUAGUACGCAACUGAUAAAUACAAAAGGGCGAAGAGAAUGUCAAUCCAGAAUGAUGCAAAUCCCUUCAUUAUUACUCUCGGUAUACGUCGUUACUUUAAGAUGUUAAAAAAGAGUAAACCAAAAAGCUUCACGUUCAUUUUACAGAAAAGAUUCUCAAGAGAUUUAAAUAGAAAAAAUGGAUAGUAAUUCAUCCCAAAUUAAUUUUCAACUUUCAAAUUUUAGCCUCCAUACUCCUCUUUAAGGCUACCUGGGGGUCUAUCAUGUUACAGCAGUGAAGCUGGAUGCUAAGUUGUUACGACGCCUGUUGGACCCUGCUUAAAAAGUUUGGUCCAGAAAAUAUAGUCCUGGAGGCAUGAAAAAUAGCAGAAAAACUGUAAUAUUAAUUCAUGUGGAAAAUAAUAUGGGGAAAGAGUAGAAGAGAUUAGAGAAGUUCAUAGAAAGUACCCAAGUCUCUUUAACUGCUACUUUCAACAUCUUUUUGCCAAAGUUGCUGAGUAGAAAUUAUGGAAUGAUAGGAGUUGUUUCUCUUCCUGUUUUAUAGUUAAAGGACUGCUAAUGAUCAGCAAAUAGCCAAAGGCAGAGGAGUCAAUCCAAGAUCUCUUCGGUUCUUUCCUAAUCAGAACACAGAUUUACAAAGAUGACACAACUGUCCGGAGGUCACACUGAAAUUAUAGACAGAGCUGGAGUUCUGAUUUCUGAAAGUCCUAUUCUCAGUCACUAUGCUAAAUGAGCCUCUAAGGUUCUAUGCUUGUUUUCUUCUUUUAUCAUUUGUCCAAUCAGGAUAGGUUAUUUUGUUGAAAUUUUGUGAGGGAAAAAAAAUUUAUUUUAUUUGGUGGAACGGUUUUUAAUUGGAGAUGGGAGUGGUCUCAGCCCUUUAAAAAUAAAAGAAUGAGGUGAGGGCAAGAAGGGGGUUGUUAUAGGAGAAGGGCCCUAGGCUGGAGGUACAGAGCAAGGUCAAGGGGACCCUGACAGCUGCAGAGUGAAUAGCAUCUUUGCAGUCUAUGAGCUUACAGAUAGAGAAGAUGCAAUUUAGGGUAGGAGAGGUGGUUUUUAUUUCUUAAAAAGUAGUCUUUCUUGGACAGGGACAUACCAGGGAUACAACAGCCCUUUUAAUCCGGAAGAACGAGGGGCUGAAGGAAAUAAAAAGUAAGCCUGAACCAGACCAGAGAAUUAAAAUGGUAUGCGUUUAAGUUUGGUUUAUUUAAAUAUUUGCUCUAAGAAUAUGAAGUUGCCUAUAAAUAGAAAAAAGAUAACAGAAUGGCUGUUUUCUU